ACAAAAGUGUAACUGACACUGAUGCACGAAAGCGUGGGUAUCAAACAGGAUUAGAUACCCGGUAGUCCACGCCCGUAAACUAUGAUUACUCAGAGUAUGCGAUAUAAUGUAUGCUCUCAACGAAAGCAUUAAGUAAUCCACCUGGGGAGUACGUCGGCAACGAUGAAACUCAAAGGAAUUACGGGGGCCCGCACAAGCGGAGGAACAUGUGGUUUAAUUCGAUGAUACGCGAGGAACCUUCCUGGGAUUGAAAUGUAUAGGACAGGGGAUGGAAACAUUCUUUUUCUCUUCGGAGACUUAAUGUAGGUGCUGCAUGGUUGUCGUCAGCUCGUGCCGUGAGGUGUCGGCUUAAGUGCCAUACGAGCGCAACCCUUAUCGUUAGUUACUAGCAGGUAGUGCUGAGGACUCUAGCGAGACUGCGUCGUAAGGCGAGAGGAAGGUGGGGAUGACGUCAAAUCAGCACGGCCCUUAUAUCCAGGGGACACACGUGUUACAAUGGUGAGGACAAAGGGUAGCUACCUGGUGACAGGAUGCCAAUCUCAAACCUCAUCUCAGUUCGGAUCGAAGUCUGCAACUCGACUUCGUGAAGCUGGAUUCGCUGUAAUCGCGCAUCAGCCAUGGCGCGGUGAAUACGUUCCCGGGCCUUGCACACACCGCCCG
rnacentral:rRNA from 1 species